GACCAGGCGGCUGGGCAGCGCCAGUUGAAAGCGGUUGAGCAGGCCGGGCGCAGUGGCUCACGCCUGUAAUCCCAGCACUUUGGGAGACCAAGGCGGGCCGAUCACGGGGUCAGGAGAUCGAGACCAUCCUGGCUAACACGGUGAAACCCCAUCUCUACUAAACAUACAAAAAAAAAAAAGUAGCCGGGCGUGGUGGCGGGCGCCUGUAGUCUCAGCACUUUGGAAGGCUGAGGCGGGCGGAUCACGAGGUCAGGAGAUGGAGAACAUCCUGGCUAACAGGUGAAACCCCGUCUCUACUAAAAGUACAAAAACCAAUUAGCCGGGUGCGGUGGCGGGCGCCUGUAGUCCCAGCUACUCCGGAGGCUGAGGCAGGAGAAUGGCGUGAACCCAGGAGAUGGAGCUUGCAGUGAGCCGAGAUCGCGCCAAUGCACUCUAGCCUGGACGACACAAGGAGACUCCAUCUCAAAACAACAACAACAACAACAACAACAACAACAACAACAACAAAAACAACAAAAACCAGCUGAGCAGCGCGGGCCUUCUGGCAGCGGGUCCAGCUCCAGGGCGCCCUAGGGCAGCGGCGUGCAGUGUUCGGGUAAUAGGACGCAGACGGUGGGGUCGCCGGGGGCUUCGGGGUGGCCUCGGCCCCAGGCCAUCCAGCCCUGUGGACCGAAUGGAGUCCCACACGCUGUUGAGGUAGUUGUGGGUUCCCCUGGCCUCGGGCUCGGCGCAGGGUCAGCGCUCCUGCAGGCGGCGCUUGCGGUACGGGCUGGUGAAAGUGGAGACGGACGGCAGGAUGGAUUCACUUGGCGACAUGGCGGGGAGCUGGGAAGACGGACACCGGAACGUGAGGAACACGAGUAGUUCAAGAAAAUGCUGAAGAUGCGCUUGGCUGGGAAGCUAGGAUAGGCUGACGAAGUCAGACUUAGUGUGGGAACCUGGCUGGGAAAGGGUUUCUUCUGUCCAUAAAAGCUACUCCAAUGGCUGUGGGAGACUUAAUUCCAAUUCCAGGUGAUACAGCCGUCAGUCUCCCACUAGCUGUAGGAUGGUGUGCUGCAGUUCACAGACCUAAGUCAAUGUUAGUCUACCACUGUACGUCUGGUAACCUCAAUCCCUGCAACCGGAGCAAAAUGUGAUUCCAGGUCUUGGCAACCUCUGAAAUUCCAACUCCAUUUGCGAGAGCUUUGAGGAGGCCAUAUGCUGAUUUCACCACAAGCAACUUCACAACCCAGUACUGGAAUGCCAUCAGCCAGCAGGCCCCUGCCAUUAUCUGUGACUUCUAUCUGUGGCUCAUUGGAAGGAAACCCAGCUACCGAAGGAAGAUACCCUCAUCAACCCAAUUUUACAAAUGGAGAAAUAGAAGCUCAGGGAAGAAUCUGAAGUAGUCUCAAAGGAAGUGACAGGAAGGAUGUGGAGAAAGCUGAGUGUCAAAGUCAGUAUUCAAGACCGGAUUUACUGCUACUUAGAGAUGAAUGAAGAAAUCAGAGGGAACGCAGUGUGCUGAUGCUAAAGCGGCUGUCACCACCCAGCUGUGUGACAUAGGACAUCUUCUUUCUCUGUCUCACUUGACUAAUAUGUUGUGUCAGGGGAGACAUGAUUGUAAUUGCCUAAAGCAAUUCUUGUGAUCAAGAAUCAGAAGCAUGAACAGUAUUGCCCUCUGUGUUAGCCCCUUUAUAAGGGAGGAAGUCAUCUUCAGCAUGCUGAAUUGUCAUCUUUCUUAGCAGUGCAAAUGACUAAAACUUAGCCAAUGUAGAGUUUGUCCAAAUUUGGAGCUCAUAACUCAGUUCUUGAGCAAAGUGAAAAGAAAACAUUGUGAUUAUGGGGAAAAUAUUUGUACGGGACUUAUCAAAUAAAGAUAGGAAAAGAAGAAAACUCAAAUAUUAUAGGCAGAAAUGCUAAAGGUUUUAAAAUAUGUCAGGAUUGGAAGAAGGCAUGGAUAAAGAACAAAGUUCAGUUAGGAAAGAGAAACACAGAAGGAAGAGACACAAUAAAAGUCAUUAUGUAUUCUGUGAGAAGUCAGACAGUAAGAUUUGUGGGAAAUGGGUUGGUUUGUUGUAUGGUAUGUAUUUUAGCAAUAAUCUUUAUGGCAGAGAAAGCUAAAAUCCUUUAGCUUGCGUGAAUGAUCACUUGCUGAAUUCCUCAAGGUAGGCAUGAUGAAGGAGGGUUUAGAGGAGACACAGACACAAUGAACUGACCUAGAUAGAAAGCCUUAGUAUACUCAGCUAGGAAUAGUGAUUCUGAGGGCACACUGUGACAUGAUUAUGUCAUUACAUGUAUGGUAGUGAUGGGGAUGAUAGAAGGAAGAACUUAUGGCAUAUUUUCACCCCCACAAAAAUCAGUUAAAUAUUGGGACACUAACCAUCCAGGUCAAGAAAAGUCACAUGCCAUAGCCAUGGUAUUGCACAUCAUUCAUCUUGCAUUCUUUGAGAAUAAGAAGAUCAGUAAAUAGUUCAGAAGUGGGAAGCUUUGUCCAGGCCUGUGUGUGAACCCAAUGUUUUGUUUAGAAAUAGAACAAGUAAGUUCAUUGCUAUAGCAUAACACAAAAUUUGCAUAAGUGGUGGUCAGCAAAUCCUUGAAUGCUGCUUAAUGUGAGAGGUUGGUAAAAUCCUUUGUGCAACACUCUAACUCCCUGAAUGUUUUGCUGUGCUGGGACCUGUGCAUGCCAGACAAGGCCAAGCUGGCUGAAAGAGCAACCAGCCACCUCUGCAAUCUGCCACCUCCUGCUGGCAGGAUUUGUUUUUGCAUCCUGUGAAGAGCCAAGGAGGCACCAGGGCAUAAGUCUACUCACUUAUAUCUGUUUGUCUGGAACAUAACCCAUGUUUGUUUUUACAACAAAUAAAAUUGAUCUUGAAUAA
rnacentral:lncRNA from 10 species